rnacentral:rRNA from 1 species
UACGUAGGGUGCGAGCGUUGUCCGGAAUUAUUGGGCGUAAAGAGCUCGUAGGCGGUCUGUCGCGUCUGCUGAUCGAAACCUAGGGCUUAACUCUGGGCGUGCAGUGGGUACGGGCAGACUAGAGUGCGGGUAGGGGAGGACUGGAAUUCCUGGUGUAGCGGUGAAAUGCGCAGAUAUCAGGAGGAACACCGGUGGCGAAGGCGGGUCUCUGGGCCGUAACUGACGCUGGAGGAGCGAAAGCAUGGGGAGCGAACAGG